rnacentral:misc_RNA from 1 species
AAGAUUUACCUGCACAAAAAAAUUAGAAAAUAAGGGAGGAUAGAAGGGGAAGGGACUUACCUACGAUGUCGAGGAGCCAUCAAAGGGGAUCAGUGUAGUCAGACUAGUCGAUUGACAGUGAAAAUGGAUGACAUCGAGGCUUGAACCAUGGGAGAAAGAUAUGGGAGAGGAAGCGUCGUCGAUUGGCGGUGGAUCGACGGAGAAUGG